ACGAAACAGGACGCUGCUGACCAUCAGGGAAUCAGAUGUGAGCUCGUCCGCAUCAAGCAACCAGUUGGGCCUGACGUGGAGCGUCUUGGGUCUUGGGUCGUUGAUGUUGACAAGAAGAUGAAUAAUAAGCUCGGAGUGCUGUCUGUCGUCGGGUAUGGUGGUCAGGGGAAAACCACCAUUGCGAUGGAGCUUUACCGCAAAUUCGGUCCUCAGUUCGACUGCCGAGCAAUGGUGACUGUGUCUCAGAACUCCGAACCUGAGAUAGUGUGGCGGAACAUACUGAGUCAGCUGAAGCAGCAGGCCGAAAAUGGUGUGAAGGAAGGCAAAGAUAGCAGCACGCGUUCCAGAAUGGAGAGGAAAAUUCAAGUUAUCAGAAGCAUAGUGAACCGGCUUAGGCAUCCAUGCCGAAAUGAAGACGAAGAUGGCAGCACUUUGUUGGGAAGGCACAGACAAAAUCAUCAAGCGGGCCUGGUGGGGAACACACUGAGUCAGGUAAAGAAUAAUGGCGAGCAGCAUGGCACCAGCUUGGAGAAGAAGGCUCCAGUUACCGGAAGCAUAUGGAGUCGACUUAUUAUGCUGCUCUCCCGGAAGGGAGGGGUGGAUGGCGGGCAGCAAAUACAAGCAGAGCUGAGGAGUUACCUAGAACAAAAG